rnacentral:rRNA from 1 species
GACAGAGGGUGCAAACGUUGUUCGGAAUUACUGGGCGUAAAGCGCGUGUAGGCGGCUAUGCAAGUCGGGCGUGAAAUCCCACGGCUCAACCGUGGAAGUGCACUCGAAACUGCGUAGCUAGAGUCCCGAAGAGGAAGGUGGAAUACUUGGUGUAGAGGUGAAAUUCGUAGAUAUCAAGUGGAACACCGGUGGCGAAGGCGGCCUUCUGGACGGUGACUGACGCUGAGACGCGAAAGCGUGGGGAGCAAACAGG